rnacentral:rRNA from 1 species
AGUGAACGCUGGCGGUAGGCCUAACACAUGCAAGUCGAACGGCAGCACAGUAAGAGCUUGCUCUUACGGGUGGCGAGUGGCGGACGGGUGAGGAAUACAUCGGAAUCUACUUUUUCGUGGGGGAUAACGUAGGGAAACUUACGCUAAUACCGCAUACGACCUACGGGUGAAAGCAGGGGAUCUUUGGACCUUGCGCGAUUGAAUGAGCCGAUGUUGGAUUAGUUAGUUGGCGGGGUAAAGGCCCACCAAGGCGGCGAUCCGUAGCUGGUCUGAGAGGAUGAUCAGCCACACUGGAACUGAGACACGGUCCAGACUCCUACGGGAGGCAGCAGUGGGGAAUAUUGGACAAUGGGCGCAAGCCUGAUCCAGCCAUACCGCGUGGGUGAAGAAGGCCUUCGGGUUGUAAAGCCCUUUUGUUGGGAAAGAAAAGCAGCAGGUUAAUACCCCGCUGUUCUGACGGUACCCAAAGAAUAAGCACCGGCUAACUUCGUG